CAAUAGCCUGGUUAAAAAUGAUGUACAAAAACAAAUGUUGUGGGAAAUAAUCAAAUAUAGAGCUUGGCUCAUCUGCACCCCUAUAACAGGCCUGCAUUCUCAUUAUCCCCAGCAAAGAUUUACAACAGGCAUAUAUUAUUAACCCUGCCUUAAAGUUGACCUCUUCAAGUAUAAUAGGAAAUGCUGUAAAAAAAACUAAACUACACUUGUCAAAUUAACCAACAUAGCUUAUGUCAUAUCUUUUUUCAUUGUUUACCCACCAAUUAAAAAUUGAUCUCCAGGUUCUAGUGUAUAUUUGUGAGGUUUGACUGCAUAUAAAGCUGACCAUCUUAAUCCAUUUAAAAAAUCGGUCAGGUUCAGUUUAGCCCUCUUUCCCUUGCCAUAGCAGUGUCAAACUAUGUAAGGUGCCUAUAAUUUGGCAGUAUACCUAUUACUCCUAAAGCUUUCUGGGAAACACCUGAGUACAUUACUAAGCUAUAUUUAGCAAA